UUGAACGCUGGCGGCAGGCCUAACACAUGCAAGUCGAGCGGAUGAAGGGAGCUUGCUCCUGGAUUCAGCGGCGGACGGGUGAGUAAUGCCUAGGAAUCUGCCUGGUAGUGGGGGAUAACGUCCGGAAACGGGCGCUAAUACCGCAUACGUCCUGAGGGAGAAAGUGGGGGAUCUUCGGACCUCACGCUAUCAGAUGAGCCUAGGUCGCAUUAGCUAGUUGGUGGGGUAAAGGCCUACCAAGGCGACGAUCCGUAACUGGUCUGAGAGGAUGAUCAGUCACACUGGAACUGAGACACGGUCCAGACUCCUACGGGAGGCAGCAGUGGGGAAUAUUGGACAAUGGGCGAAAGCCUGAUCCAGCCAUGCCGCGUGUGUGAAGAAGGUCUUCGGAUUGUAAAGCACUUUAAGUUGGGAGGAAGGGCAGUAAGUUAAUACCUUGCUGUUUUGACGUUACCAACAGAAUAAGCACCGGCUAACUUCGUG
rnacentral:rRNA from 1 species